ensembl:lncRNA
GAACACCACACUGAGCAUGCUUCUCCCCUCUGAGCAUCUCCCUGCAGGACCUGUGGAGCCCAGCCAGGCACCCCUGCCAGCAUCACAGGGGACCCUGCCUACCAUCAUGGCCAUCAUCAUCCUGGGGUCACUGCAUGGCCUUGUCUUCAGUGGGCUGGUGGCUAGGAUUCUACUUGGGAAGCUGCGGGGCAGGGAAUCCCAAGGGCAUGAGGAAGUCUCUGAGGUCAUCUAUGAGCAGAUCCUUGAGGAAUGGGUGGAUUCAUGUGGUGCACACCUGAGGCCUGGGACCUGCCUGACUGGUGACCCACCCACAGAGGACACGCCUGUCAUGCUGCAGGGAGGUGGCCCCCCGCAGGUGGGACAGGAACCCCCCUUGCAGGCAUCCUCGGGGUCCAGCUACGACGAUGUGGGCGUGGCGUGCACGGAGCUGUGAGCCCACCGCUCCUUCUCCACCGGCUUUUCUGCCCUGGGGCGCUUCCAGGGUGAGCCUCGGUUUUCCUAGUUUUGACAGAUUUGUCUUUGGACGCUUCCUUAACAAUCCCCUCCUCUCCUGACGUUAAUAAAACUCCCUUGAUUUAAUAAGAGUCCCGCCUU